rnacentral:lncRNA from 1 species
AAUUAAGCGUGUAUGUGCUGCGUGUUUAGGGUGAAGCCGUGAAGGAGGAGCCCGAUGGGACAAGGGUGGUCCAAGAACCACGUUGGUGGAAAUGCUUUUUUUUUUUUGAAUUUUCACCGAGGGGAGAUUUCCCCACCUGAAUUGUAUUCAUAUUGCCUACAAGGCUUUGCAGCCUAUUGCAAGAUAGGUUCAAGUGAACCGGAAAUACAGGGGGCACAAGAGGAGAAGAGAUAAAGAAAAAAGACACACACAUACAACACACAAAACGGGGGAGAAACAAAGAGGAAAAGAACAGACAACACAACAAGAGCACCGCCAAAGUAGUCGAACGCCAUUGGACAGCCGAGACUAAGCCAGGGCACUGUACCAUCGAUGCAAUCAAAAGGCGCCGCGCAUCCGAGAGUACACAACGCCGCGACACCACCUGUGCCGUGGGAUGCAAUCGAAAGGACACACGAGCCGAGACGACACCACGACACCUGUGUGCCACCGACAAGGCCGAAGGGCAUCACCUAGUAGACCAAACCAAGACACUGCAUCGUCGACGUAAUCGAAAAACGCCGCGCAACCGAGACUGCCCAACGCCGCGACACCACCUGUGUCGUGGGGCGCAAUCGAAAGGUUACGUGAGCCGAGACGACGCCACAACACCUGUGUGCCACCCGUGUAGUCACAUAGGCAUCGCCACAGCAGAGACACAUGAAGGGGGCACCUGAGCACGAACAAUAAGAACACUGAAGAAGUGACGAAGACAAGGGAAGACGGCCAACCCCCAAGCCACGGCCCUCCCGGGUGAGAGGAACCGCAUCCAUGGCCGCCACAGCAAAGCCAUGGAGCUCGCCAACUCGACGAACAGCACCCAUCAACGCUGACAGCGGGACAAGGGGGCCCUUCCAACCCGCCCACGGCUGCCCCCCGCGUGGAGAGCAAGCCGCAUCCAUGGCUGCCAUCUGCAGGCCAAGGAUUUUGCCGACCUGUGCAACCGCAAUAGGACGAUAGGCGGAGGAAGGGGCAGCCAACGGUGGAGCACGGAACAACGCCGGCCAGCACCACACCGGGGAGCUCCAGGCAUAACCAGGCGCAAUACAGAGCACCACCACGCCGAGAGAACGCGAACGCCAAGUUAGAGAAAAUCCGAUCUGCCGUCGAGGGAGCAGGAAAACUAGCGCCACCCAACAGAUCCGGGCAGGGGCCUGCCGGAUCCGGCCCCGCACGCCGCGGCCUCGCCAAGACGACGGCACACACCGGGACGAGCCCGGGGAGCGCAACCGCCCAGAUCCACCACCCGCGCCGCGCAGGGGCGCCCGACGCCGGCCCACCCAGCAACCAGGGGGGCACAGGGCCACGUGACGACCAACCGCCGAGCACCGGACGACCAAGAGGCCGCUGCACAAGCCGGAGCGCCGCCGGAGCACGGCGCCGCGCGCGACGCCGCUGCGCACGCACCACCGAGGUCACGCACAAGACCAACCGCCGCGUGCAGGAGCGAGGGCCCGCCGCCGCCAGCCACCACCGGGGCUUUGCCCGGCGACGCGUGCCGGCGGCGGCGGAGGAGGGGAGGAGGGGAGGGGGCGGCGGAAGUCGCGGCUUGGUCUCCGCCCGAGCCGCCCCUGCGGAGCGACGCGGGGGACUUUUUCGUCAUGUGAUCCUUUCAAUAUCCGUGGAAAUGCUUUUCAGGUGACUUGUUUGUUUGGCUACCAACCUUCAAACACAAUGUUGCGAACAUAGUUGAUAAACACUGCUUUGCCAACACUCACGAGGAGCCCUUUUUUUUAAUGGGAAAUUGCUGCUUUGUUCAACUAGUUUUCGGCAUAAUCCAAGAUUAACACGUCCAAGAUACAAUCCGACGCAAUAUGCAACCAAGUCUCUUUUUUUCGGGAAAGUCUUAAGGCAUCUGCAACGCUGGCCCUCAAACACGACACAUUAUUCAUCUGCUGACUGGUAGGGACACUGAAACAGGAACCGGCCGUCCAAAGCUUCCCGCAUACAUUUUCAAAUCAAAGUUGAAUAAUCCAGCCCCUGCUUGUCGCUAAGUGCGGCGGGGACUGCAUCUCCUGCUUCACUGCACGCGACAGGGAGGCGAGGUCGACUCCUGCUUCACGCGGCGGAAGGGUGACACACGCUCUGCUUGACGCGGAAGCGCGACGGAAAGGGCAGCACCAGACCUCACUCUCGGAGUGACCGCGCCAUCAAUAGCUCUAUCUGACGGAUGAACUCCUCGUCUGUCACCACGACCUCCAAGAGGGGGCACGACUGUUGAGGAUCGGUUGACGCUAUUGCGGUGGCGCCUUGUCCUCCUCGUUGCCGAAAAGACUACGACUUGAAGACCAAACAAUUGAAUUGAGGGGAGUCACUCUACCGAAAAGGAUCUCAUUGCACCUAAAGCCAUGAAGAAGACGUAGAAAGCCGCCGCCAACUCUCACAAGGACCAUGUCUUCACAUCCAGGUUUGAAUAGCUUGAUCAAAUUAAUGUCAGGCGGGAGAAAGGCAUUGGACGCGACCAUCCAAACAUGCAAACACCCGAGGAUACAAGUUGCCCCCCCCCCCUCCCCCCCAAUGAAGCAUUUCAAAGACGCUAGCUAUAGAAUGGGAGCGUCUCAAGAAGACAUAACAAGGAAUUGAGCAACGAAGCCACCAGGAGGAGCUAGAACUCGCCAAUACCACCAUUUCACAACUAUUGUCGUGUCCUCGUCUUCGUAGAGGGGACCCCUAUCCCCUCUAGGCUUGUGGGCGUAGAUUCGCCAGACAGACAUGUCCACACGGAGGAUAACAGCGACUAGAGGAAGGAACCGGUCAUCCACGACAAAGUGUCACCACUGAAAGAAGAAAUCACCGCCACCAUGAGCACCCCAAGCACGCAAGCAAUCUACACGCCUCCCAACAGACCCAAAAUGGUGCCUUCAAGAAAGGUAAUGGUGUCGCCAUUGGCCAAAUCGAAGUUGUGGGUUUUCACCCGGGUGCAGGGGAAGGAGGGAGGGAUAGACCUCAGUGUCCCCUUCAAGAAGGUGAACAACGCCCGGAGCGCUGCCAAUGUAGAGGUUGUCGCCGCCGUCCAAGGGGUUACCCCGAUCUAGAACUCCCCACCCCACAACCGCGCAGCCAAUUGUCGGAUCCGGUCGGACAUGAUGUGGAGGAGGCGGCUGCAUGCGACAGGGGCGCCGUUUCAAAUCUGGCACAAGAAGGUCACAGGACGCGAGGGGGAGGGGGGGGGCAUGACGCCUAAAUCAAGCCCCGCCUCACCAUACACGCAACCGAGGUGAAGCGGCCAACAAGUAUAGGGAACGGCGCCCACCAUCGGGACAACACCGUCCACUCCACGUGAGGCCCCCGACUGGAACCCUAGGUUCGUAACCAAGUAACAACCACCUGACAUUUUAGGCAGGGGCAAACUCACCAAGAUGGGACCAAAAUAUAAAUUACUGAGUUUGGAAUAAAUUUGCUGGUACUGUUUUGAUUUGUCGACCCAUCUGAAUAAAUUCAACGAAUAGAGUACGUACUACUAGUUCUAAUCGGUAGUAAUAACAGUACUAGUAUUUGACUUUGUCUUGUCAAACCUGAAAACGUGGCGGCACAAAUUGUUUGGCUCGUUCGUACCACUGCUGCCGUGAGUUGAACAACAUUUAAUCAAGUUUGAUCCGAUCGAGCGGGAGCUAGCUUGCAGCGCGGUAUCGCCAGCUGCGUUGUUCUUCUCCCGGCAGGCCGGUCGCCAUCAAGCUAGGCGGCCCCCAUCUCGCUCGACCGCGACGAAUCCCAAUUCCCACACAAAAACCACGUUUCUCCCUCCGGCCGCUCCGGUCUGGGUCUGGGCCCCUGCCUUGCCCGUGCUGUGACCCAGCUGUGCGCGCUGCGGCCGGCCGGCCACCCAGAUCAGAUUGGCUCAGCCGUUCCUCCAUGGAAAAGACAAAUUAAACAAACCGCAAGAGUUUGCGGCUGAUCCGGGCUUUAAUCUCUCUCUCUCUCUCUCCCUCUCCCGUCCUAUAUAUACCCCUGUCGUGCGCCGGGUAAGCGAAGAGUUAAGCAGCCGAGGCGCACGUUCCACAGCUCCAGUUCGUCCAAGCUCGAGCACAACACUCGAUCGCGGCUUAACUGUCUCCGGUCCUGCACGCCGAUCGUACGUGCCUUUCCUAGCUUCUCGAUCCCUUGUGCUGUAGCUCGUAUCCUCGUGCUAGUCACCGUGUUUAAUGGCUAUAGCGCCAUGAACCAUCAAGCUUUCGCUAGCUAGUGGCUGCCCAUACCUUCCUCUCGCCAUCGGUGCCAUGCACGAUCGAGAUCGACCGUCCACGAGACGUCAUCGCUCAUCCGUAGCAUUCCCAUGAGCAGUGCUCGUGCUUUGUCCCCGGCCGUUUAAUUCUUCCAUCCGUCUCCUCUCCUCUCCUCGUGGUUCAUCACUCGUUUAAUUGGCUAGCUAGCUAUGUUCCCAUCGUGUUCGUCUGCUUUGCGUGCAUGUGCCGAGACGCGGCUCAGGCCGGCAGCCGGUGUGCGUGUGCAUAGUCGUCGGGUUGCCUUUUUCUGUGCCCACUUUUACUCACUCUUUCACUGUUCCAUAGGCAGGUGGCAGCGCAAUGGCGGACUGCAUGCAGGAGUGGCCGGAGCCCAUCGUGCGCGUGCAGGCGGUCGCGGAGAGCGGCCUGGCCGCAAUCCCGGGCUGCUACGUCAAGCCGCAGCGCGACCGCCCGGCGCAGCAGCACCUGGCCGCCGCCGGCAACGUCCUCCACGAGCCCUCCGACGACAGCAUUCCGGUCAUCGACCUCAGCGAGCUCCUCGCGGCCGACGACGGCCGCAUCGACGGCCUGAUCACCGAGGCCGUCGCGGCGGCGUGCCGGGACUGGGGGUUCUUCCAGGUGGUGAACCACGGGGUGGCGCCGGAGCUGAUGCGCGCGGUGCGGGAGGCCUGGCGCGGCUUCUUCCGGCUGCCCAUCUCGGCGAAGCAGCAGUACGCCAACCAGCCGCGGACGUACGAGGGGUACGGCAGCCGGGUGGGCGUCCAGAAGGGCGGGCCCCUCGACUGGGGGGACUACUACUUCCUCCACCUCGCGCCGGAGGCCGCCAAGAGCCCGGAUAAGUACUGGCCGACCAACCCCGGCAUCUGCAAGUAUGUUCCCGCUGAUCCCCGCCUUUUGAUUUUUCACAAGAUUCUUGCUGGCUACUAGUACUUGCACAUGUGCUGAUUCGUCUGCAUGCAUGGUGCCCUCGCUCGGCGGCUGAGAAGUAAUUACACGACGACGAUUGAUCCCACUAGAAAUUUGACAAACACCAUUGUACUCAUUGCAGCUCCUAUGAACUUGACUAAUUCAAAAUUUAAGAACUUUGACUUUCAGUAUCUUGUACUCUCUCCGUCCGGGAAUACUUUUCAUUGAAAUGGAUGUAUCUAGAUGUAUUUUAGUUUUAGAUACAUCCAUUUUCAUCCAUUUUGAUGACAAGUAAUUUCGGACGGAGGGAGUACUUAAUAUGCAUAGACUGGACUUAAAAUUACUACACUUUCGUGAAACAUAGUUUAGUUGGAUUUUAAUAAUUAUUAUAGUUGAACACAAAAUAGUGGCCAGAGUUGUGUUUUCAAGUUCAAAGUGGUAAAUCUCAUAGGGACAAGAAUUUAACUUUUUUGUAGUGAUUUAAACUCCCUUGAAAUUAGUUACAAGCCAGCCAUGACGGGAUCGAUUCUCAUCGGGGGAUUUAAUUAAGUCAAAAGUCUACGAUAUACUAGAAUUUCCCUUAGUAAAAAAGAUAUACUCCCUUCGAUCCAUAAUAAUUGUCGAUGGUUUAGUACAACUUUAAGAUUACCAGAAUCUGUUCCUGGUGAAAAUUGAACGACGGUCAACAUGAACAUACCACAACUCCCCUACCACUGGGCUAGGGAGAACAAUAUAUAAUCAACAAAUAGAAUAUGUAUAUGAGGUGGAGUGACAUACCACCCACCAUGUCCAAAUAUUACUAACUCAAUCUCCACAAAACUUAUGAUCAGCGUUUGGCCAGGUUAAAUAUGAGAACAGUACAUUGAUAUACGUAAAUAUGUACUGAUUGCAGUCCAUGUAGACGUGAAAAAGAAAGUAUUGAUUGCGGUACAUGUAGACAGUAGACGUAAUAGCCAUUGUUACUUAAAAAAUAGGGUGUCCACAAAAGGAGAUUCAUUUCGUGCACCUUUGUCAACAUAUAUGAAAUCCAACACGUGCAUGGGACGGAAAGUAGGCGAAAGGUUCUUUCAUGCAAAAGCGUCAGGGCCGGCCGGCAAGAGUGUGCCGACUACUAUUCCAAGCCUGCCAGCUAAGCAUAGCAACAGACGGAUGUACCCGGUUGACCUAAAAACAACAGUUCUACACGUGCAGAAUCACUGUUUUGGUUGUACUUCAUUUUCGUCGUCUAGCUUGAAAAAAUACACGUACACGUACACGUACUCUCACUGACAUGAUAUGUAUGCAUGUGUGUGUUUGCAGGGAGGUGUCGGAGGAGUACGGGCGGGAGGUGACGAGGCUGUGCGAGGUGCUGAUGACGGUGCUGUCGGCGAGCCUGGGGCUGGAGGAGGCGCGGUUCCAGGAGGAGUUCGGCGGGGCCGAGUGCGGCGCGUGCCUGCGCGCCAACUACUACCCGCGGUGCCCGCAGCCGGACCUCACGCUCGGCCUCUCGGCGCACUCCGACCCGGGCGUCCUCACCGUGCUCCUCGCCGACGAGCACGUCCGCGGCCUGCAGGUCCGCCGCGCCGACGGCGAGUGGGUCACCGUGCAGCCCGUCCGCGACGACGCCUUCAUCGUCAACGUCGGCGACCAGAUCCAGGUACAUACCCAUCGUACGUAUGAUUAGUCUGCAUGUGCAUGCAUGCAAGCGUCUGUAUAUCCAUGUGCCGUUCGGCUUCGAGAAGCAAAAGGCCGAUCGGACGUAUCUCUUAGCCACACGGUCAGCAGUUAAAUAAGCCGUUCCUGGAGUUGACUCAGACUUGCCGGCAUGAGAGCUCGCGCGCGCACAUGCAUGGACGGUGGCCGGCCGGCCAUAAAAUGCGCCGAUUAUUAUACUCCCUAAUACAGUUUUACUAGAACUCAUCUAGAUGAGAUAUAAUUUGAUCUCAUUCAUUUUUAAAACAAGAACAAAUACAACCCACGUCAGCAUACACGCAUCUUAUAGCAUCACAUCCAAUGAUUAUAAAAGGUGAAUGAGAUCAAAUUAUAUCUCAUCUAAAUGAGUUCUAGCAAAACUGUAUUAUAAUCACUCCAUUACGGCACUGCAUACGUACUUUUGUCUUCUGAAGCAAUUACGUGCCUCCCUCGGACGUAGACUCAUGCAUGUUCUGGCCGGCGGAUCACACCACGAUCCGUGUACGUAGUACCGAACAACAAGCGCGCACAUGCAUGCAUGCACGGCACGGACAAUUAAUUCAUCGGCAUAGCUAGACAUUCCAUGUGCUGAUGUGCAUGAGCCAUGAACGAUACAUUGGUGUCAGUAACCUACAUAUGCUGCUCCGUACUUGUAUGUGCCAGUACAUCAUGAGCUGAUUUAUUUGUUGGUGUAACUAAUUGUGGGUGCAGAUAUUGAGCAACUCAGUGUACAAGAGCGUGGAGCACCGGGUGAUCGUGAACGCCAAGGAGGAGCGCAUCUCCCUCGCGCUCUUCUACAACCCGAGAGGGGACGUCCCGAUAGCGCCGGCGGCGGAGCUGGUGACGCCGGACCGGCCGUCCCUCUACCCCCCGAUGACCUUCGACGAGUACAGGGUGUACAUAAGGAAGAACGGGCCCAGGGGCAAGGCGCAGCUGGAGGGCUUCAAGGGCCAAGCCGUCAAUUAAUUAACCGGGUCUUGCGGCGUGUAUGAUUAAUCUGAUGGCAAAUAACUCAUGCAUGUAUGAGCGCUAGCCCCUACAUAUGAUAUGUGUACGUGUGGCUAAACUGCAUGCCGACUCGUGUAGUAGUAUGUCCUGUAUGAUAUGUGUACCCCAAUCAAAAUUAAAGGACGAUAUGCUAUGCAUAUAUGCUGAUUAUAUUGGCAUUUUGAUCCAAUCUAUCACCUUCUUUCUAAAAACCGACGUCGUUCUUGCGUACAACUGAGCACUGAACUAAUCUCGAGAACCGCAUCAUGCGUAUAUAUGCGCUUUCCAUGCAUGCAUGCAUGGUACUCCCUCCAUUUCUAAAUGUAAGUCUUUGUAGAGAUUCAACUAUAAACCACAUAUGAAUGUACAUAGAUACAUUUUAUGUUUAGAUUUAUUCAUUUUGCUUCGUAUGUAGUUCACCUAGUGAAAUCUCUAUAAAGACUUAUAUUUAGGAACGGAGGAAGUACUACGAAAUGUACCGAGCUUCAUAUCUGGAAUAUUACUUGAGAUAUCACCGAAUAUAAACAUGUACUGCACUGCAUGGGUGAUAUCACAAGUAAUAUUCCGUCACGCCAGUCAUGGGCACGUGCACAUCACAUCGGAUCUGUACAAAAGAUGGAUGAAGGAGCUGCACUUGGAACAUUGGCUCGGCCGGCCACUUACUCCAAAGUCCAAACCAACUGCUCUGAGAUAUGCAUGUUCAAUCUAACUUUCUACUGUACAUAACGACUAGCCACACAUGGGCUACAGUGAAAAAAUAGUGACCUGUCACUUCUCGGUCGGUUCUCCAUGGAUGAGUUGACGACCCAUGACCCAGCUCAGCCCAUCGAUGGCCAUGCUUAUCGACGGUGAGAAUGCCCAGCAGCUGACAGCAAAGCUCAGCUACGUAGGUGUCGGGACAAGGACGAGACGUUUGCCGCCCUGGAAUUAUUCGGACCAAAGUCGCACACGUGCGCAAUGGGAAAAAGGAAAGACCACUGAGCAGACAGACAUGCAAAUUAGUACACUCUACAGUGGAAGAAAGCGGGGCUAAAGUUGGGCAGCAAAUCCGGCCACAACACGUACUACAUAGAAGAAACAGGCCAAAAGCACAGCCACUUUUCUUGGUUCCCGCGUAGCUACCUACAUGAUGCCUGACUAUAGCUUAGCCCCGCCGGCUGGCCGACCGAUCGACCGAUAAGUCGCCCAUCAACACGUGUUCUAAUUGUGACUCGACCAUCACUCACGGCUCAGCUCAGAUAUGCAUGCUGCUGGGCUCAGAUAUGCAUGCUCCUGCAUGGCCGCAUGCAUAUAUAUCCGGCCCAGUGCUACGUACUGUGUCGUGCCUUUCACUGUUGGAAAGAGCAUCCAAACAUUCUUUUAGCUUAUCUGUAUCCAUUUGUUCCUUUUCUUGUUUGGGCUACUAGCAAGUGUGUCGAGCUACUGAGUUCAUUAAGAACUUUUAUGCGGGUGGCCCGAGAUCAUGCAAAACAAGAAGAAGAAAAAUCGUGUGAGAAGGUUGCAGGAGUUGUUGCUACCGCACACAAAAAAUGAAGUGUUUGUUACUAAAAAAAUGAAGUUUUUUUUUGUAAAAUGUAAUGGCCCCAUAUGAAGUUUAUAAAAUUUUAGUUCAAAAUAGUUUAAAUCUUAUCACGAGUAAAUACGCUUUGCGAGAUUCCCAUUCACUUUGACUAUGGAGGCAAUGCUCAGUGGUGAAAGUAACUUGGUUACCUCAUCCUACAAAAAUAACGAAUAUGUUCGGAAAUUAGUUGAUAGGGAUCCAUCCUAAACUUAAGGCUCAAAUCCGGGUGAGAGUAUGAGCUAUAUGUAACUGUAGAAAUGGUUGUGUAUUUAACAUCAUGAGAGCUUCCGUUUUGUUUUUUUCGGCUAUCUACAAAACUAUCAAUUGGACCCGCUUGUGAUCCUAUCUUUAACAUGCGACGGCGUGGGAGCUCACGGCUUUUAGAUGCAACCAAUAGGAAUCAGUUGCCCUGGAUAUGUCCAACCAUUGUGCGGUGGUUCGGAUUACUGAAGCGUGAGAGUAUCUUAUAAUAUCUCUUUCACUUUGUUGGGCUAACCUUGUAUGUACUCCCUCCGUUUUUAUUACUCUGCAUAUUAGAUUUGACCAAAGUGAAAGUUCAUAAAGUUUAACCAAGUUUAUAAAAAAAAUAUGAAUAGUUACAAUAACAAAUAUGUAUGAUGUGAAAGUAUAUUCAAUAAGAAAUCUGAUGGUAUUGAUCUGUUAUUGUAUAUGUUAGUGUUUUUGUCUAUAAACUUUGUCAAAGUUUACGAAGUUUGACUUUGACCAAAGCUAAUAUGCUGAGUAAAUAAAAAAAGAGGAAGAAAUUUUUUAAGCCUUUUGUUUCACACUAUUUGGUUGUUGACACUUUACAAUAAUAAAGGCCAUGUGCAUCGGCCACUAAAGAGGUUGGGUUCUUUCUUUCUUCUUUUUCCAAAAUAAUAAUAAUAGAGUCCACAAAGAAAUACAUCCAGGGCAUGUUUGAGACUACUCCACUCCAUCAAAACAAGCUACACUCCGUCAAAUUCCCUUUAGAGCAGUUUCAUCUAUGAGUUGCAGCUACACCAUAGAGUAGUUUAGUCUGUUUGUCUUCCAGCUCGACAACUAUAAGAAAGGAAAAUCGGUGGGAAACGUCUAUUGGGGGUUGCGUGAUGUGGGGAGAAAACGAAGGGGUAUCUACUUACCAGUGGCGGAGAUGGGUAAUUUUUUUCCCAACUCCACGAAGACUUUUCGAACUAGAGUUUUGGGAGCACCCCUAGAAGAAUUUCACGAAAAGAUGAGAGUUGUACCCCUAGAUUCUAGUUUUUUUAGCGGGACAUCGUUGAUCCAUCUCAUUCGGCUUGAGUUUUUUAUAUCGAAGCUGGAUUUUAAGAAGUGGAACGGUCCCAAAUAGACCCCUAAUACAUAACAGGGCCUUUGGAGUUUUCUCCAAACUUGUCAUUUACUCUCUCUGUUCAUAAAUAUAAGAUGUUUUGAAUAUUUUGAUAUGGACUACAUACUGACUAAAAUAUAUCUAUAUACAUCUAAUUCAGGAAAAGUUAGAAUACCUUAUAUUUAUGAACGGAGGGAGUAGCUUUUUGCUAGAGGAAUACCCAGCACUCCCUCGAACAUUUGUGAAUGCACAGGCAUGCUUGCUUCGUGCUAUGUAGUGGAGCGAGGUGUAACUCAUUUUUCCUUUCAAAGAAGAACAUGUUACGAACAUGGGAUUUCCUAUUGCAAAUUACCCGGUGAAUUUGCAGAACAUGGUCACCGGCUGCUAUGAUCCAGAACCUGAUGGUUGAAUUUAUUCUGAAGACAGAAUAAAGCAACCACCAGUAACCAAGAUGGAAAGCAACACCAUGGCAUGCACCAAAACUACCAGAAAAUUCUUUUGUCCAAUCCUUCUGAGGUUUGACUUGAUUUUCUCCAUAGAAGUUUUCUUUUGUGGUUUUGUCCGAGUGUCAGAAUCAUGAUCGUUUGAGAGUACUCCAGAUACGAAUCUGGUACACCUGUAAAAUAAAUUGAAUGAAUUUUUUACCGAGCAUCACAAAGCUGGAUUAUGCAGUUCGACGAGUAUCAAUCGGUUGACUAAACUAGAAAUCGUCAUCGCAGACGCAAGCAUGUGUGCUCGUCCAAUUGCACGGGGCCACGACCAUAUAUAUGCUGCAUAUAAGAUUAACUACUAUAUAUACUCUUCUAAGGGUCUGUCUACGUCUCAGUCGACUAAGACUUCGCGAAGUCUCAGUCGGCUGACGUCAUCAGUACCAGAUUUGGCCCGUUUUACCUCCCUCCCUGUUGGGUUUUAAUUUCCCCCGUGAUGGGCUUGUGGUGUGGGCUUUGUUUGUUUGUCCUUUUUAGAGCAGUGAUGACCGUAGGGUGUGGAGGCACACACAGCACACAAACAAACUUUGUGCGCCUCAUAUCAUCACACUAUUUUAUGUUUCUUCAGAAAAAAUGGUGUUCAGAGCUAGCUAACUGAACCAUGUUGUUCACUGUUCGUGGAGUUGUUCAGAGAAACUUAUAGAUGUUUUAGACCUCUUCCUAGUUUCAACAAGAGUGCAUAAACACGGUUCACUUUGAUAGUUAACCUCCCUGCCCCUUAAUUAGCUAGUUAACAAACUUCACGUAUUAGCUAGUUAAAACUUCAGCAAAGAGUACAGAGCCACGGCGACGUAGCUAGUUAACUUUCUAUGCUAGCUAGUUAAUUUCCUGUAUCAACUAGAACUCACCAAAAAAAAGAUGACUAUCUAUAGAAAAAGGUUACAAACCAAUGUAGCAACUUCUUCAAAAGAGCAAACCGUGACACAGUUUCUACAUGAUAUCCUCUCUCUUCUAACUCUGGAUCUUCAAGGCACUGAUCUCUGCCUUCUUUCCGUUGUCUGUCGUUUUCAGGGGCCUUCCUUCGUCAUCCAUGUCAGUGCCCGUGCGCUGCUGUAUUCACAAAUGAAUAUGAGACAAUAGUGUUGUAAACAGAGAGACUGGACAACAUAAACAAGGCAGAAAACUAAGGAUAGGAACCGGGCGGACAUUAUAGCCACUUUUCAUUGUGAAGUUUAGACGCGAUGACCAAAGGUACUUUGAACUUUUUGGCAAAUCAGACAGUUUUAGUUCCUUUCAUCAAUGGUUUUUGCCGCAAAAAUAAUAAUAAUAAACACCAGCAUAUAUCCCAUGAACAGAAUGGAGGUAACAACGGAAUUGACGACAACAAAAUUUAAAACAGUUAAAAUAAAAACAGGUUAUAUGCCACAUGUUGGUUGUCAGAAAACUUUUUAUUAGGAUACACAGGACAAACAAACCUCACCAGCUAGGCAGCUACUAUAUAUUGUGCACAAAAGAGUACAGACUUGUCUAGGUCGCUUCAAUAAGGGCGUCUACUGCCAUCCGACAGUCCAGGAUUUGGGAGUCAGUUUUUAGUAGCGAUUUGUUAUCUGUUAUCUUAGGCGGGGCAUUGCCAAGCCUAAAAAAACCUGACUACCGAAAAACAGGGGCACCGUCCUGAACAGCCACAACCAUACCAGCUGAAAAAAUGCUGGAUUACAAGGUAAGUGAUAAAAACAUUUGAACUAGAAUGUGCAACUAAAAAGCAAAAUCUUGGAAACUUCACAAAAAGUCUAACAACAAAACCAUUAGAAAUGAACUUUAACACAAAAUAUGCUCACGGGUCCUCAUAUAUUCCCAAGAGUGUAUUGUGAUCCAUUGUAUUUAGCUGACAUGUUCUCAACUCUACUUCAGGAAUACACAAAAUUUUAGUGAUUGCUUGUGUUAAAAAACAGGACAAAAUGAACAGCAAAAUAAUAUAGUGCACACACGCACACACGCACACACACUCCCGCCGCCCACUGACAAAACAAAAAUGUCAGUCCAGUCAAGGCGCAACACUUGCAGUUGUAAGCGUAAUGUUGGACAUGCAACUACCAAUCACCCUCUCUCGCUCCUCUCCCGCGACACACUAACAAAACAAAAUGUCAGUUGCAGUCGUUUGCUAGACAUGCAGUUGCAGCCAGGGCGACACUUGUAGUUGGAAGCCAAGUGUCAGACAUGCAACUGCACAUCACCUUCUCUCGCCGCCCACUGACAAAAACAAAAACAUCAACUGCAGUCAGGGCCGAAAAUUAUAGUUGCAAGCCUAUUGUCGGACAUGCAACUACCCCCUCCCCCAGAGAAAUGAUAUCAAUAUCCUACUGAUUCGCAAAAGGUUUCAGCAAAGAUCUAAAGAUAAAAAUCACACACAAAAAAGGGGACACCCCUACAUGCCACAGCUUGAAGAAAAAUGACACGAAAAGAAUUGACUAAAAUCCUGGAGCCGAUUAUAUGGUUGAAGCUAUUAAUCUACACUUGAUACAAACAAAAACGACCCAAAUCUCCUCAGAUCUACGGUGUAGCAACAACAAACAAACAAAAACAGAUGGAAAAAGAAGGUAGGGGAAACUUACUCCACCAGCAGCGGCCAUCCUCUCUCGUUGGGCGUGCAGCACGUCAAUCUGUUCGUUGAAGAAGCCUUGAAGCUCGGCGUCUCUUCUUCCCCUGCGGAGUUCUUCCGAUUUGAGACUGGGGAAUGGAGAGAGACAAAGUGGAUUGAGCGCUAUCUGUCCCUUCCUCUCUUUAAUGCGGCCAAAAAAAGAAAAAGGGAGGACAAAAGGCCCGCCCGAACACUUGCCCAGCCCACACAAGCAAAACGCUCACGCGGGACCGCGGUUCGACAAAAAAACAGGAAACGGGCCGGUCCGCGCCUUAGACAGGCCUAAACAAGGGACAAAGCGCCCCAGCGCGAAUCUACAAACAACCAAAGAUCGAACGGUUAGUCUCAGUCGACUGAUUUUUAGCAGUUCCGUUCUUUAAAAAAUAGGUUAAUUACAAGGUACAAACACCAGGUGUCCUGGAUAGCCAGAUUGACUAAUUUAUCCAUGGUCAACCAUUUCGAAGAUCCUUCAGGAUGGUCUGACAAUGCGGUUACUCUAUGCUCAGACUUGUUAAAAGGUGGCGGCUAGCUGGAUACUUUUUCGACCAACCGUCAUGUUAGCAUAUCCUAAUAGUUUUUUUUUGUGUGUGUGUGCAUCAUCUGGGAGCUUUACUAAUGAAGGGACAGAAAUACAAUCGGAAGCCAGCAGGCUAAUCAGAGCGUAUCAUUGGGCUAAUUAAACUAAGUUCCUAGAAGAAAAGGUACUGUAGUUGAUUAUUUUGAGUUGAUUGGUUUGUCAAAGGUUCGAUUGGGGAAGAUACUAUUCCAUUUUUUUCUUUUUUUUUUGCAUGGUAAUAUGUGUCUCAUUCAUAUCAUAAAGAACAAAGUACAAGUCACGUAAGAACCGACAUGACAAAACUGAAAAGAUAGCAGAACAUCUCUGAUCUUCACACUAACGUCCGUCACCUGCCUCCGGCACCACCACAGCAGCCACCGAAAAAAAGAAUGAUGGAUCACCUCCUCAUCCGAGCUCGACGCGGCUCCAUCGCUGAUAUUCAGCUUUGCGGACCUCCAAGGUGGGGAAACCGGUUUGAAUUUGUCUUUGGAGGAAGGAUCGAAUUGUUGAUUAUUCAUACCACUUCCAAUUUAUCAGGCGCAAAUGCAGCAAAUGGAGUUUGCAUUACCGCGACAAGAUCAUUGUUGGGCGAACAUUUAUAGUAAUAGGCCGAACAUAGCACUCCCUCCGUUUCACUUUACAAGUCCUACGUGCAUACCUAGGUUGUCAAUUUUAUCACCCUAAUAUAAACUAUGUAACACAAAAAUUAUACCUUGUGAAAAUAGAACAUCUGAAGUUUAUAAUGGUAUAUUUUUUGUUUAAUAUAUGACUUGUAUUAGGUUGGUCAAACUGACAACCUAGGGGUACACGCACGCCCUAUAAACGAAAAGAGAUGGAGCCAACUUCAACUGCCCACAAUCAGAGGAGGUGGCCUAGAUAACCCUUUCACAGAGGACGAGGUUUGGGAAGCGAUCAAGGCCUCGCCGGCGGAAAAGGCUCCGGGACCGGACGGCUUCAUUGGAGUCUUCUUCCGUAGCUGUUGGCAAAUCAUCAAGCACGACAUCAUGAGGGCUUUCCACCAGUUCUACUGUAUAGCCGACGACGAUCUUGCCGCGCUCAACUCCGCCCUGGUGGUUCUGAUCCCAAAGAAGGACGAUGCAACAGCAGUUUCAGAUUUCAGGCCCAUUAGUCUAGUCCACUCCAUAGCUAAGCUGAUCACCAAGGUCCUCUCCAUGCGCCUCUCCAACGUCAUCGACUCCAUCAUCUCACCGGCACAAUCUGCCUUCCUGGCAAAGAAGAGCACGCAUGACAGGUUCCUCUAUGUCCAAAGUGCAGUUCGAGCGCUACAUAGGAAGAAGACACUGGCAUUGCUUAUCAAACUAGACAUCGCAAAAGCUUUUGAUAAUGUCUCCUGGGAAUACCUACUCGAACUUCUCCAAGCCCUAGGCUUCUCAGCUAGAUGGCGCGACUGGAUCACUAUGCUUCUAUCGACAUCGACCUCCUACUUCUUGCUUAACGGCGCGGAAGGCAAGAAAAUUUUGCACUGUAGAGGGCUUAGACAAGGUGACCCGCUGUCACCACUCCUUUUCAUCAUUGCCAUAGACCCACUGCACCGACUCCUCCAACGCGCCAUGGAACUUGGCGAGCUUGACUCGCUUCCAGGCAGGGAUCUGUCGCUGCAGGUGAGCCUAUAUGCAGACGACGCCAUCAUCUUUGCCAACCCAGUGAAAGAGGAGAUCGAUACGCUCAUGAACAUCAUCCACAACUUCGGGCAUGCUUCAGGACUUAAAGUAAACAUGCUGAAAUCUUCUAUCACUGCCAUAAGAUGUGACCACAUUGACCUGCAGCAGG